rnacentral:lncRNA from 1 species
CCUUGAGCAUCACAGGUUUGAAGUUUAUGGGUCCACUUAUAGAUGGAUUUUCUUCCAUCUCUGCCACCCGUGAGAUAGCAAGACCCACUCCUCUUCUUCCUCCUCCCAAGCAGCCUACUCAACGUGAAGACUACAAAGAUGAAGACCUUUAUGAUGAUCCUCUUCCACUUAAUGAAUGUUUUUGAGUCCACCUCGCUGGAUUUUGUGAAAAUAGAUCCUUCACACACAACAAAGAAGGAACUUUCUGGAAGGCUGUACUCUGGAACUGCAGACUUCUCUCUCAAGUCAAGUACAUUUCUGUUUUUCUUAAAGCUGCAAAACUACAACAAUGUUUAUAUUCAUAUGAAGUAUUUCAGCAAUUCAUAGCCAAUUUAUCAAUGACCACGCAGCUGCAGGCACUGCAGUUUAAAAAAAUAUACCAGCUCACUUAGUGUUUACAUAGGCUCUGAAAGCCCCACGUCCUGGCAGGGGGACGGGAGCCACCGGAGUCAUUAGAAAGACUUUGCAACCUGCAAGGAUACAUAGAUCAUGCUUGUUUGUUUUGAAACCCCAGAAAAAAAUGAUAAUGGGAGCUCAUCACCAGUGAAUUAGCCUUUGAAUGCAUGCUGCCUCUCUGAACAACUGUGAGAAUUCAAAAGUAUAUCCAUUGGAUCAACUGACAAUUUUGGGGGCCUCCUGUGGCAAAAUCAUCUUACUAGAUGACUUCAACAGAAAAGGGAUGUGGAAGAGAAACGAUCCCAAUUUUUUCAGUUAAGCCUCAGUCUGUGUACAAAAGCGCGGACGAUCCUUCCAGAAGAACCACAGCCGUUGUUGAUGAAUCUGGGUGUGGGUAGAGCUUGUCCGCUGGAGGUGACGCAGACACCAUCACUACAGUGUAAACACCAUUCAUGCAACUGCAGCCACCACCGGGGCCACUGGCCAGACCACCACUUCCCAGAGCCCAGAUACUGCAGCAGCUAUAAAUAGCUUUGUAGAAUUACAUUAGGUGAGACAGCCCAAUAUCCCAUUGCAUGAGCAAUGUGGAAUUUUGAAUAAAAAGUAGUUUAAAUGGCAUUUUGGUUUCAGUAGUGAAUUAAAAGCAAGAAACAAAUCACAGAAGAGGGACAAACAGAUGUUUCUCUGAUAGCUGGAUUCCUUAGAAAAUUGACUAUAAAUUCCAUGAAGAUAAUUAUUAGCACUGGAUUAUACAAUCAGCAUGAUUUGCCUGGUUAUCUACAAAAUCAUUAAAAAGUAUAAGAAGAAUCAAAUGUAUACUGUGUACCAAGCAGGAACUGCUGUUGGUCUUCGUUGAAAUCCUGUCUGCAAAUCUUUUUGUAUAACUUAAUUAGCAAAGUUAAAAUUAAGAUGAGGCUCCAGUGUGUUUAGAUACAACAAUUUCUAUGAGAGGACACUUCAUUAAAACAUUUAAUAACACAGCAAACUCUCAGUUAUCAAAGAAAUCUCUUUACAAAAACUGUUUUUGCCAAUGAAUAAAAUGAUUCAAUC